rnacentral:rRNA from 1 species
AUUGAACGCUGGCGGCAUGCUUUACACAUGCAAGUCGAACGGUAACAGGCCGCAAGGUGCUGACGAGUGGCGAACGGGUGAGUAAUGCAUCGGAACGUGCCCAGUCGUGGGGGAUAACGCAGCGAAAGCUGUGCUAAUACCGCAUACGAUCUAUGGAUGAAAGCGGGGGACCGUAAGGCCUCGCGCGAUUGGAGCGGCCGAUGUCAGAUUAGCUAGUUGGUGGGGUAAAGGCCCACCAAGGCGACGAUCUGUAGCUGGUCUGAGAGGACGACCAGCCACACUGGGCCUGAGACACGGCCCAGACUCCUGCGGGAGGCAGCAGUGGGGAAUUUUGGACAAUGGGCGCAAGCCUGAUCCAGCAAUGCCGCGUGCAGGAAGAAGGCCUUCGGGUCGUAAACUGCUUUUGUACGGAACGAAACGGUCUGGGUUAAUACCCUGGGCUAAUGACGGUACCGUAAGAAUAAGCACCGGCUAACUACGUGCCAGCCGCCGCAGUAAUAC